rnacentral:rRNA from 1 species
UACGUAGGGUGCGAGCGUUAAUCGGAAUUACUGGGCGUAAAGCGUGCGCAGGCGGCGCGUUAAGACAGGUGUGAAAGCCCCGUGCUUAACUUGGGAAUUGCGCUUGUGACUGGCGAGCUGGAGUGUGGCAGAGGGAGGUGGAAUUCCACGUGUAGCAGUGAAAUGCGUAGAGAUGUGGAGGAACACCGAUGGCGAAGGCAGCCUCCUGGGCCAGCACUGACGCUCAUGCACGAAAGCGUGGGGAGCAAACAGG